rnacentral:rRNA from 1 species
UCGAGAAUUUUUCUCAAUGGGCGAAAGCCUGAAGGAGCGACGCCGCGUGGGGGAUGAAGGGUUUCGAUCCGUAAACCCCUGUCAUUUGCGAACAAACCCUGGAGUUUAAGAGAUGCCAGGCUGAUUGUAGCGAAAGAGGAAGGGACGGCUAACUCUGUG